AAGAUUUUAGUUUAUGUAAAAAUAAUUAAUUUGCUAUUAAUAGAAAGAUUCUCUAAAUCUUA
rnacentral:tRNA from 1 species